GCCAGAUCGUCUGCUAACCUCAGUUAUUUCACAGCCUCAUGUUCCUGUGUAUUUAUCAGUGUGCAUUACUUAGUCUCCUAGUCGGUACCUGGACUCGUCAUUCCAAACCCUGCCAUAGCCUUGCUUCUGGAUUCAGCUGCUGCUUAAUCCUUUUCAGACAAACUGCCAUUCUCACCUGCCUGCCUCCCUGCACACCUAUAUUGGACUCAGCACUCGCCUGGACCUCACCUCGCCUCCACCUCCAGCUAAUCCCCGCCUGCAAACACUGCCCUCACCAGCCCCACUCCAGUCUCAGCAGUUUUUGUUUUCGCAAAUCACUUGGAGCUUCUGGUCUUUGGUUCUGCGCCUGAGUCCAUUCCACGCCACGGGCCUCUGAGCCCUGACAACGGUCUAAACAUCUGGAAAGUCCUGGAGGAAGAGAAUGGCUGGACUCAUCUGGAUUCUGCUUUCUGCGUGCCUCCUGGGUUGUACCUCUCAAGAAAAAACACUUUUUAACAGUUAAAUUUAAAGGAAAAUUCCCUGGAUUGUCAUUGAAACACAUUAUAUUGUCCCAAAUGCUGCUACCCAAGUCUUAACUGUACAGUCCAUGUCCAGUGAUCCUGAUGCUUUCUGUUGAAGUAAACAGCUGUUUGAAACCUUUACCUCUCUGCUCUGUAUAG
ensembl:lncRNA